CUGUCUCCUUCACCUAUAUUAGUUUAUCUGUCUUUCUGGUCACAACAGAAAUUCAAGACGUUUGGGUCCUCAGCUCAACUGACCAAGACCUUUGCUCAUUGAAGGCAUGAAGUAAUUUGUGAUGCCCCCACGAUUGCAGUUUUUAAACGCAGAUGGCUUGCUCUUUUUAACAUGUGCGAGAGCUGGAUGGUCUUUCAACAACACUGCUCCGGGUCUUCAGCAAGAAAGGUGCUUCUCAUGCAAGGAAGAUACAGAGGAUCCUGGUGCCCAUGACUCAGACUGACAACAUUGAUGUGAAGAGGGAGUGCAUGCUGAGGAGCUGACGGUCUACCUGAAUGAAGAGCCAGACAAAGUGGAUGUUGAUCUGGACGGUCCAGCUGAAACGUAUUGUCUUCGUGUGCGUGUGAUCGGCAGAGAGUCCUCAACGACAUUGGUAACGUACCUGUGGCCAUUGCAGUGUUUGUUUUGGUUUAUGCUCUUAAUCUCUGUUACCUUCCAGAAUGGAAGUACACUUUCAAAUUUCUGUUUCAUUCUAACCGUCUGUUUCAUCAGUUUUUGCACUGCUUUUAAAUGUACACUGUGUAAGAUUCUUAGUUGUUUAUUUCCAGAAUUCAUGCUACCCAUUCACUAAUGUUACCUUUUUCAUGAAUACUUAGCACCACCAUUAGGGUGCAUCAGUUGCCCCCUAUGAAAAGAUAUGGCCUUGGCCCUAUAGUAAAAAUGUUCUACACCCAGUAAAAACACACUGUGUAAAAUAUUUUGAAAUUUGGAUGAAGUCUACCGGGGCCACCAGCCCCAUGAAAAUAGAAAAUAAUGGUGAUAGUCAAAAUCUUGAAUAGAAACAGGGCUGGACUGGCCAUCUGGCAUGGCGGGCAUUUCCCGGUGAGCCCCGCACCCUCGUGGGCCCCCAUUGUUUUAUUUUUUACAUUACUGAAAAUAGGGGCCCAUGAGGGUGCGGGGCCCACCGGUGAGUCAGUUCUCCGGCACUAAUAAUAAUGAGGGGGCCCCCUUAAAUCCGAAAGUGCCCGGGCCCUAUUUAUCGCCCAAUCCAGCCCUGAAUAGAAAUGGACAUUUUGCUGCAUAAAG